AUUCGAUCGUCAAAUACUUACAGCUGACGUAAACAACGACGACGAAUAAGAGAAGAACCAUAACACGAGACAUGUUUUAUGCUUUUCCUCGACGGUAGUUCCAAAUGUAAGCGUAUCUCGCGCAUCUUUCAACUUUUCUUAGAUGGUAUUUUCUUCGGACUCGCUUUAGGGCAAACUGAACGUUCUGUCAGAAACGAACCGGCUUUACGAAACAUCGGAACAAAGCGCAACUACUGAUAAAACGCGAUCGAAAUCCGAAGAAGGACGAACGCGUUACAUGUGUGAUAUAGUUUUAAACGGUAUACUUGGAUUUUACGUUUUGCAUCUGGAUCCAAACAGUUUCAUCGGCACGAAUUUCUCGAAACGUGUUUCGAGGACCCUCGGGACGAAGCGAAAUCGUCGGACGAAGCAGCAGGAGAAGCGGUCGAGGGUGAAUCGAAGGCAACCGAAAUUCCUGCCAUAUUUCGCUGAAACCGAGUUUCCUUCCGGCUGGUUGAUUCAAUAUGUUCCAUCCGGGUAAAACGGAACUCCAGCCAGGCUAUGGACAAUACACUUUUCCGAAUGAAUCCCGUGGUUCCAUGAACGCGAAUGGAAUAUCUCGAUCGACGAUCCCGCGGAAUGGAGCGGCCAAGAUAUAGCCAAAUUCUGUUCCUUGUUCGACGAACGAGAUUUCGAGAUUAGGAAGAUAAAGAAAGAUCAUCGUGCGUUUUCUAUUUCUUCGCGUGUUCGUAUCGAAGAUGUUGAAACGCAUUGAAAACGAGGGAUACGAUAAUUUCUAUUGGGAGGAAUAUUAGCGGCUCUUCCUAGUAUAAUCGAUCGUUUGAACCUAUUUCUAGUUACCAAAUGUCUAGUCUUUUAUUUACGUUACAAGUCAUUUUCUCAAAAUUGGAAUUUUACCGACUGUAACUCGAGUUAGCAGCGAUUCACGACUGUCCUCCAUUUAAGCAUCCUGAUGAUGCUCGAUUAUUAACGCUAUUGAGCAUGUUUAUCGGGCAAUCGUUAAUCAACGAUCGAUUAGCUAAUGAUAAAUAAAGGAGAAGAGAUUAAGAUUAGGAGAAAAAGGAUAUAUCAUUGGAAAUUUGAAAAAUAUUCAUAGCGCUGCUUCUAUUGCGAGAUUUAGUCUCGCGAUAUAAAGGAUCCUUGUCUCAAACGGUCCAUUUACGGUCGAAAAUUUAGUGCACCGGCAGCACAUAAAAUCUCAACGAACGAGGCUCUGGCGCGAUGAGAUUUAUGGAAAUUGAACAUCUCUAUAGCAGAGUUGUUACAAAUCUUUCGCUGGAUCAUCGUCUAUUUCGCGUCUAGACAUCCUUCUCGCCAAAAAUGUAACGUUUCUUAGGCACUGAAUGGUAAGUAUCAAACUUUGUUUUAUUUCGUUUUACGCGUGAAUUUCGUCCAUAACGUUGAUUAACGAAUAAACGAUCGACGAAUAUUACAGUUGAUAAAUAAUCGGUGAAAAUUUACGCAAUGAUAAAACACAGGUGCUCGAGCAAAAACGAUAUAACGAAUUAGAAAAUAAGCGAUUAGGUAGAAGAGCAUUUGUCUAAUUACAUGUAGCGUACCACUGUCGGUAAAAGGUACACGCCUUAUCGAAUACGACUCGGUGUACGACUGUGUUAGGCUGGUUGCCAGUCGCCAGGAACUUUCCCGACGCUUUACUUCUUGUUUAACUUUUACUCGUACCAUACGUCUCAAAGUAAUUUUUAGGAAAAUAUUUGGAUUGUUGUAAUUUUUUACUACGUUACAAACUGUACUAUUAUAUCGUCGCAUUCGCCGUUAAAAUAGAUUUUAAAAGCGAAAGGAACCGAUAUUAGCAAAAGAGAAUAAAGUACAAAUACGUGAUCCCAACUCGUUAUCUACCGAAAUAAUCGAUACGAGCAAAUAACACCUAAAUGUAAACAUCGUGGUCCAGAUUACACGACUUGUGUCACGAAGCAAUAAAUUUUUUAAUAGACUCGAAUAAACGAUAAGAUAACCUCGCGCAUUAACGGUAUUAAUACAUGAAUCCGUGCAAUAUCGACAAGUUAAUUCCGUGCAAGAAGCAAAAACCGAUAAAGGAAAAUAGAAAGCAGCUUAAGGAAA